UGAAUCACAUGGAGAAGAAAGCAUUAGCGAGUGGAAACAAGGAGGAGAUACAAGUUGGAGGUGGAAAUGUUUAUAUUUAUAAAUGAAUAUAUAUUUAGAUUGUUAAAGAGGGAAUAACAUGGUGAUAAUCGUGAGCUCAAGCUAAUUGGGAAUUUCACGCUUCUCCUAAACUCUAUUCUCAUGGUUUCAUCGCCUUCCAUUCAAUCCGUACAAAUAACAACAAAACAUCAUCAGCAGCCAAUUUACUUGAAACAAUUUUUCCUCAUCUUCUUCUCCAGGUUAAAUGAAGGAUACAAUACUCUUUCUUUUUUUCAUCACCAGCACAUCAUCAUCAUCAUUAUCAACUUUAUUUUCAUCAUCAUCUUCAUGGUCAAAAGCCAAUCCCAAUCUUAACAAGAGUAAAGCUUAAAAAGGUAUAUUUAUCGUGUGAAAUACGAUAUACCAAUUGAGGUGUGUUCAUCAUCAUCUUCAUUUCAUCUGUAUCAUCGCCAUUGCCAUCAACCAUCAGCUGUACAUCAGAAACUAUUGGCCCUUAAACGGAAAUCCCAAAGUCUAAAGUAAUGGAAGAAGCGCAAGAAGUGUUCAAAUGAUCAAAUGAAAUGGCAAACAAUAAGUAGUUUCAAUUUUAGCUCAUCAUUCAUCAACAAGCUCAUCAUAUUGAUAAAUAUUUUGAUUUUAUCCGCAAACUUGAUUCCUUUGUCAAUAUUGUUUUAUUUCAAUUACAAUUUUUGCCCAUUGAAACAGUAACAGUUAGCAAAAAAGGCCAAACACUUUAACGAGGUUCCUAUUGUGACCCGAGAAGGACGCAAAUAUCCGAGGACAAAAACGCAAAAAGAGCAGCCAAAACCACAAUCCACUUAAAUUUGGCCCUUUCCUUCAUCUUUUUUUUGUUGCUUCCCUUUGUCAUCUUCAUCUACAUCAUCAUUGGACUCACUUUACGUGUGUUUAUAUUUUCUGUCUAUUGAUUGUUGACUUUAUGAAGGUAACUUCAUUUUUGAAUAGUUAAUCAAACGAUGACGACCAAAGAUGAAGAUGCCAAAGAGAGGCAACACAAAAAAAGUGUCAAAACUAUUGAAUAGAUUUGGCAAAAGGAAAUAAAUGAACUUCCUUUUUUUCACCAGCAACCAGCAAAAGAAAUUGCAGGUAAAAAGGAAAAAAGGUGUUCCAAUGGCAAUGGUUUUUACUGUUGUUGUUGAUGUUUUAUUUUGUUACAUUGUCAUUGUAACCUUUCAUUGUUGACUCUUGUCGAUCUACUUUUGAACAGAUUGAGUGUUGAUUAUUAUAAAGGUUAUUUUGUCCUCUUUAAGCUUGUAUAUUUUUCAAUUGAAUUGAAAUUUAUAUUGAUAUUUAAUAAUAAUAGUAAUCAUAUAUCAAUAGACUUUACCAGGUAAAAAAAGAGAGAGUCUCAAUGAAUAUGAAAUGAAGCAAAUGAAACAACAUCAACAACAACAAAAGCCAACGGAUACGUUGUCAAACAUAAUCUAAUUUAUAUCAUUGAAGCCAAAAAGUGAUACAAAUUGUAUAAUAAUCAUAACACAGUUAACCUUAACGCAUACCAAUUGAUUACUUGUAAUGUGUACAUUUUUGUUGUACCAUUUAACACCAUUAAUCAAUUGAUUGUUGCUUUACAAGACGGUUAAACAUUUUCAAAGAAACACUGAUUUCCUUGAGAAGCAAAUCUUCAGACACUUUCAAUUGAUCCAUCAACAUCACUAAAUUAAUUUAAUAUUCACUUCUUGAUUUUAAACCUUUCAAAAUGCCAUUUCAAUUGUAAAUCUUGUUCUGAGAUUUUUAAUUUAAUUUUGAAUGUUAACCUUCGCACUGGUUUGAUAACAAUUUGAAAAUCAAUGUUGUGACAAUUUAAUCCAAAAGCCGUUACAAAAGCUACUUUCAACAAUUUUUGUUGAUGGUUUUGUUUCAAUCUGUUCAAUCCGAUUUCACCUUUUUUCAGUUUAAUCAUCACUUGUUGACUACCUUUUUGUUUGUUUGCUCAGGUUAAUUUAUUCCAUACCAACUAACCUAUCAACAUGAAAUCUAAUCAAUAAUAAAGAACAAUCAAGAGAAUUGGAAAAUUGUUGAAAGAAACAAUUUUUCAAAUCAACUUUUCCUUGUUCAUCUUUUUUUUGCUGAACAGGUGAAAGCUCGUUAACUGUUUCAAUGUAAUCAAUAAAACACCGGGUUUCUCUUGUUUAUGUGAUUAAUCUAAACCAAUCUUUACUCACCUCAUAAUCAUUGAUCAAAUUGUAUAUUUUCAAUUUAAAACUAUAUUAAUCAUUGGAAACAAAAAUAAUUGUAACUUGAAUACAAACAAAAUGCUCAACAAAAGGUAAACUAGAUUAUAAUUUACAUUUUCAUGUAACCUGGUUUAACUGCUUUAAUAAGAACCUUUGAUUUAGGAUUAGUUGGCUUCAUUAAAUAUUGAUCGAUAUUAAAUUUAGAUUUAAUUUAAUCGAGAUUAAAAAUUGCGCUCAUUUUUUGUGGCUCCAUCUAAUAUUAAUUAAGGUCAUUGUUUCCAUUUAUUCAUCUCUUGUUUUUUCAAUUUGGGUUUGAAUUUUUCAUCAAUUUCAUCUUAUUCAACUGAAUAUCUAAUCAUUUUUGUGCAUUGGAUACUUAUCUGAAGUGAAUCUGAAUCUGUGAUAAAUCAACCUAUGAGUUUGUUAAAGUUACAAAAUAAUGUUUUAAAAAAGCCAAGAAUGCUUCAAUUGAAUAUUCAAGAUCCAUGUUUAUCUUUACAUGUUUUGGACUGAUAUUUUAUAUCAUUGUGUUAUUGAUAUUUUUGGAUAUUCAUUAUGGUCUAUCAGUUUGUCAUAAAAUAUGAUUUACCUUGAAAAAAUGUAACCAAAUUGAAAGCUCUUUUCUUCAGAAAUCAUUUGCACAAUUUAUCUCAACUUGUCAUGUCAAUGUUUUCAAUUAUCAAUUUAACCGCUUUAAUAUGACUAUUGCAACAAAUGACAAUAGAUGGGGUUCUCCAAUUCUUGGUCACUUUGGGCAGUUUAAGGAUAUCAAGGAAUCUGAAUGUCGACUAGUCUUUCAAUGGAAUGGCAGAUAUAGAACUGAAUCACGCUUCGAAGUGUUACUGAUGUCUCUUGCAAUGUACCGUUGUUAACCAUGUAUGGUUUAAAAUACGAAAGAUAUUGGAUUGCAAAGUCAAACCGUACCGAAUUACCGAACUUUUCAUGUUACAGACUUUCCACGCAUCAAGACCAACCCUCUUAGUUCGAUUUGGAUGUCUAACGCAACUGAAAUUCAAUGUAUAGAUGUUUAGAUUGUGCGUCUUCAAGUGUAUUAUGAAAGUUGAAUCAUCAAUAUUAUAUCCACCAAAAGGCAAAAGUAUUAUGAAUUAGCAAAGGAACCACAAAAUUGAUAACAACACCAAUCAAGAAAAGAUAAUUUAUUCAGCUAUCAUUACCAAUGUUCACACUGGACGAUUGAAAAAAAGGAAACUGAAGAAACAAGAAAUGAUUGCUGUUAUUUGUUGAUUUUUGUACUUUAUGCGAACAAGCCUGAAGUGGAUAAGUAUUGUUGGAAUGACGAAACUUCAUCUGGUAAAAUACUUCGAUAUUUAGAUCUAAAAUGAAUUACGUUUCGAAGUUACUUAUGACUCUCAACCCUACAUGCAUAUAGUUUAAAAUACAAAAGAUAUUGGAUGGCAAAAUCAACGCAAAAUGAAUGUCGUGUUUGAAUUUUGGCAGUUCCUGUUUGUUAAUGGAUAAUGUUAAUAAGCUGAUUUAAAAAGUCAUUUUGUAUGUUAAGAGCUGUUAAAUACAAUAGUUACCAAUACAAAAUGACUUAAAUUGUACAUUAAAAAGAGCUUCUCCUCUUGGAAAACAUUAACCUGUCUAAUAAGGUUUGAUAGUUUCACAUCAUCUCUCAACCACAGCCAUGUAACCAGUAUGGAGAUAAUCAUUUGCUAAACAGGAAAAACGAAACGUUUUGUCACCAAAACAAUUUUUGUUCAUCAUAACCAUUUCAUAUUCCUGAUCGGUAAUUCAGUUGGUGAGGAGGAGUCAAUGUUUUACCAUGGUAUACCUCCUAGCCUAUCAACAUAAUCCUGCUGAACAGAAGAAGAAAGAAAAAAAGAAAUCAGUAAUUGUUAAUAUUACCUUGUGAAAUGUCUUAUAACAUUGAUCAAGGAACCAUAGCGAUUGUCCAUUAAUAAUGAACAAAUCUUUCGCUUUCUCCAGAUAAGUAAUGAUGAUGGAAAUGUUAUGCUACUAACCAUGUUAACUCAAUGGUUAAAUAGUUUAUUAUUACAAGCAAUUAAUAAUCCACUGAUGAUCAGAUAAAUUGAACAAAAAAGCAUAAACACUUGACAUAUCGACAAUUAAUAUUAUCAACUAGAGUUUUGACAAUUGUCUUAAACUUUCUUCUUGUCAAAAUUGCGUUUCCAUUGAUCAUUACAUAAACAUUUAUUUUAUGAGCAUUUGUUGAACACCACCAGCUAAAAUCAUCAUAAUCAUUGUUAUCAUCCCAAUUAUCAUUACUAUUAUUGUUUUACAGUUGAACAAAAUUCAUGAUAUAAUCUUGAUUCGUACAAGCAAUUGUCUCGAUGGCUGUGUGUGUGUCGCCUGUUUUGCGCUAUAAGUUAUCUUGCUUCACUUUGCUGUUUUUAAGUGAUAAAUGAACUGUUUGAGAAGAUAUUAUGUUGAUUGGAAUCAACUAAUUUAAGUUGACAAUGAAAAAGUGUUUGUUAAUGUUUUUCCUUGAUUCACCGAGUAAAUACAAAAUCAUUCAUUCCAAUCAGAAAGAUAAAGGCAAGAAAACAUUGAGAAACAAAUAAGAAUUUAAAAAUUGCCAUUUUAACCUGAGAAACGUUGCACCAGAAUUGAAAUGAUUUCAUUUUCAAGACAAUUUACUAUCAACAUUGGCUUAAUGAGGUAACAAAUGGGUUCCACCAUUAUAGUAGCAGCAUAAUAUAACAAUAAUAAUCAACCAACAAAACCUUUAUUGUUUUGAUAAUAGUAAUGUUGUUAUUGACUUGUUUAUAUGCUUAUUUAUUAUAAUGUAUAUAACAAAAUACAUGAUAAAUAAUAGUAGCUUUAACCAGAGUUGAUUGUCAUUUUGUUUGCUCAUUUUGGGUCGUUGUUGUUGUUGUUGUUGUACAUUUAUAGCUUGCCCAUUGUUACAGUGAUAGUUGUUAAUCUGGUAACAAUCAGCUUCUUAGUUUCUUUUGGUUAGGUUAAUAACUGAAACACGUUUUACAAAUCAAAUCUAAUUUUCAUUUUCUUGUUUUUCUUUUAUAGAUUAAUUGAAAGACUGAUCAAAUGGCGAUUUCAAGGCAAUCAAGUAAAAAGGAUUACCAAGAAGGCAUUUUCAAGAGUUGAAAGGAUUUAAUUUGCAUAAUACACAUACAAAUGUUCCAGUCAAUAACAAAGUAAAAAGGAUUACCCUUGCAGCUUAGAUUAACAACAUUAUCAUUCAUCUAUUGUCAUUUGCCUUUACCAACGAAAUUGAGUUGCGAUUGAUAGUCAAAUUGUCAGAUUGAAGGGUUGAUUCUCGCCGUCUAAACUGUCAACCAUCAAAGUUAAUCAGUCAUCAGAAUCACAGUUGUAAGGAAAACAAGAAAAGUUGGAUUAAAAUGCUUACAAUAAUUAAAAUGUUUGCAUAGUUUUGCUGUGCCACGUUGACUGACCAGUAAUCAUAACUCUUCAUCCAUUGAAUACAAAAACAUUAGCUAUUCAACAUCAUUUGGUUUUUGUUACCGAUGAGCAUAUUGUCAUCAACAUAAUUUGUUUAAUCAAAUACAUCAAAUAGCUGAUAGUCUAGAGUAUCUAUGAACGCAAUUUCAACUCUUCGGAUAAAUCAAUAAAUUGAUAAAUUAAUUUUGAAUUUUUUCACCCAAAAUUAUCAAUAGAGCUUACAAGUUAGCAGUAAAAUGAACUUGGUUGGAUAGCUGA